rnacentral:rRNA from 1 species
AGAGCGAACGCUGGCGGCAGGCCUAACACAUGCAAGUCGAACGGACCCUUCGGGGUUAGUGGCGGACGGGUGAGUAACACGUGGGAACGUGCCUUUAGGUUCGGAAUAGCUCCUGGAAACGGGUGGUAAUGCCGAAUGUGCCCUUCGGGGGAAAGAUUUAUCGCCUUUAGAGCGGCCCGCGUCUGAUUAGCUAGUUGGUGAGGUAAAGGCUCACCAAGGCUACGAUCAGUAGCUGGUCUGAGAGGAUGACCAGCCACAUUGGGACUGAGACACGGCCCAAACUCCUACGGGAGGCAGCAGUGGGGAAUCUUGCGCAAUGGGCGAAAGCCUGACGCAGCCAUGCCGCGUGAAUGAUGAAGGUCUUAGGAUUGUAAAAUUCUUUCAGUAGGGACGAUAAUGACGGUACUACAGAAGAAGCCCGGCUAACUUCGUGCCAGCAGCCGC